rnacentral:rRNA from 1 species
GAACGGGUGAGUAACACGUGAGGAACUGCCCCGAAGACCGGGAUAACCCUCCGAAAGGAGAGCUAAUACCGUGAUACCUCCACCGAACCGCAUGAUUCGGUGAAGAAAUGGAUUCCGCUUCGGGAGGGCCUCGCGGCCUAUCAGCUUGUUGGUGGGGUAACGGCCCACCAAGGCUUCGACGGGUAGCUGGUCUGAGAGGACGAUCAGCCACACUGGGACUGAGACACGGCCCAGACUCCAUACGGGAGGCAGCAGUGGGGAAUCUUGCGCAAUGGGCGAAAGCCUGACGCAGCAACGCCGCGUGGGGGAUGAAGGCUCUCGGGUUGUAAACCCCUUUCAGCAGGAACGAUUGUGACGGUACCUGCAGAAGAAGC